GGAAGAGGCUGUAGCUCAGAGGAAGAGCAUCUGCUUUGCAUGCAGAAGGUCACAGGUUCAGCCUCUGGCUUCUCCA